rnacentral:rRNA from 1 species
UACGAAGGGGGCUAGCGUUGCUCGGAAUUACUGGGCGUAAAGCGCACGUAGGCGGCUUUCUAAGUCGGGGGUGAAAUCCUGGAGCUCAACUCCAGAACUGCCUUCGAUACUGGAAAGCUCGAGUCCGGGAGAGGUGAGUGGAACUGCGAGUGUAGAGGUGAAAUUCGUAGAUAUUCGCAAGAACACCAGUGGCGAAGGCGGCUCACUGGCCCGGUACUGACGCUGAGGUGCGAAAGCGUGGGGAUCAAACAGGG